rnacentral:rRNA from 1 species
UACGUGGGGAGCAAGCGUUGUUCGGAUUUACUGGGCGUAAAGGGCGCGUAGGCGGCCACCGCAGGUCGACUGUGAAAUCUCCGGGCUUAACCCGGAACGGUCAGCCGAUACUGCGGGGCUAGAGUGCAGAAGGGGCAACUGGAAUUCUCGGUGUAGCGGUGAAAUGCGUAGAUAUCGAGAGGAACACCUGCGGCGAAGGCGGGUUGCUGGGCUGACACUGACGCUGAUGCGCGAAAGCUAGGGGAGCGAACGGG